rnacentral:rRNA from 1 species
CGCUGGCGGUAGGCUUAACACAUGCAAGUCGUGCGAGAAAGUACCUUCGGGUGCGAGUAGAGCGGCGGACGGGUGAGUAACGCGUAGGAAUCUACCUAGUAGAAGGGGAUAGCCCGGGGAAACUCGGAUUAAUACCGUAUACCUCCUUAGGGAGAAAGAGGGCUUAGCUUUGAUGCUCUCGCUAUUAGAUGAGCCUGCGUAAGAUUAGCUUGUUGGUGAGGUAAUGGCUCACCAAGGCGACGAUCUUUAGCUGGUCUGAGAGGACGAUCAGCCACAUUGGGACUGAGACACGGCCCAGACUCCUACGGGAGGCAGCAGUGGGGAAUAUUGGACAAUGGGCGCAAGCCUGAUCCAGCCAUACCGCGUGUGUGAAGAAGGCUUUCGGGUUGUAAAGCACUUUAAGUAAGGAGAAAAAGAUUGUAGUUAAUACCUGCAAUCCGUGAUGUUACUUACAGAAUAAGGACCGGCUAAUUCCGUGCCAGCAGCCGCGGUAAUACGGAAGGUCCAAGCGUUAAUCGGAAUUACUGGGCGUAAAGCGCGCGUAGGUGGUUUUUUAAGUUGGAUGUGAAAGCCCUGGGCUCAACCUAGGAACUGCAUCCAAAACUAGAUGACUAGAGUACGAAAGAGGGAAGUAGAAUUCACAGUGUAGCGGUGGAAUGCGUAGAUAUUGUGAAGAAUACCAAUGGCGAAGGCAGCUUCCUGGUUCUGUACUGACACUGAGGUGCGAAAGCGUGGGUAGCGAACAGGAUUAGAUACCCUGGUAGUCCACGCCGUAAACGAUGACAACUAGCUGUUGGGAGACAAGAUCUCUCAGUGGCGCAGCUAACGCUUUAAGUUGUCCGCCU